GUUAUAGGGUCAAGCGAAUAAGUGCAUGUGGUGGAUGCCUUGGCGAUCACAGGCGAUGAAGGACGUAGUAGCUUGCGAAAAGCUGCGGGGAGCUGGCAAACGAGCUUUGAUCCGCAGAUGUCCGAAUGGGGAAACCCGGCCCGUAUGGGUCAUCCCUUGCUGAAUACAUAGGCAAGGGAGGCGAACGCAGUGAACUGAAACAUCUAAGUAGCUGCAGGAAAAGAAAUCAACCGAGAUUCCCAGAGUAGUGGCGAGCGAAAUGGGAACAGCCUUGUACUCUUUAGCAGUAUUGUUAGCGGAACGGAAUGGAAAGUCCGGCCAUAGUGGGUGAUAGCCCCGUACGCGAAAACAGUAUUGUGGAACUAGGUGUACGACAAGUAGGGCGGGACACGUGAAAUCCUGUCUGAAGAUGGGGGGACCAUCCUCCAAGGCUAAAUACUCGUGAUCGACCGAUAGUGAACCAGUACCGUGAGGGAAAGGCGAAAAGAACCCCGGGAGGGGAGUGAAAUAGAUCCUGAAACCGCAUGCAUACAAACAGUCGGAGCCUGGAAACGGGUGACGGCGUACCUUUUGUAUAAUGGGUCAGCGACUUACAUUCAGUGGCAAGCUUAACCGAUUAGGGAAGGCGUAGCGAAAGCGAGUCCGAAUAGGGCGUUCAGUCGCUGGGUGUAGACCCGAAACCAAGUGAUCUAUCCAUGGCCAGGUUGAAGGUGCGGUAACACGUACUGGAGGACCGAACCCACUAACGUUGAAAAGUUAGGGGAUGAGCUGUGGAUAGGGGUGAAAGGCUAAACAAACUUGGAAAUAGCUGGUUCUCUCCGAAAACUAUUUAGGUAGUGCCUCGUGUCUCACCUUCGGGGGUAGAGCACUGUCAUGGUUGGGGGGUCUAUUGCUGAUUACCCCGCCAUAGCAAACUCCGAAUACCGAAGAGUGCAAUCACGGGAGACAGACAUCGGGUGCUAACGUCCGGUGUCAAGAGGGAAACAACCCAGACCGCCAGCUAAGGUCCCUAAGAUUGGCUAAGUGGGAAACGAAGUGGGAAGGCUAAAACAGUCAGGAGGUUGGCUUAGAAGCAGCCACCCUUUAAAGAAAGCGUAAUAGCUCACUGAUCGAGUCGUCCUGCGCGGAAGAUGUAACGGGGCUAAGCCAGUCACCGAAGCUGCGGAUGCACGUAAGUGCAUGGUAGGAGAGCGUUCUGUAAGCCUGUGAAGGUGUCUUGUAAAGGAUGCUGGAGGUAUCAGAAGUGCGAAUGCUGACAUGAGUAGCGAUAAAGGGGGUGAAAGGCCCCCUCGCCGUAAGCCCAAGGUUUCCUACGCAACGUUCAUCGGCGUAGGGUGAGUCGGCCCCUAAGGCGAGGCAGAGAUGCGUAGCUGAUGGGAAGCAGGUUAAUAUUCCUGCACCGUCGUAUGAUGCGAUGGGGGGACGGAUCGCGGAAGGUUGUCCGGGUGUUGGAAGUCCCGGUCCCUACAUUGGAGAUGGCACUUAGGCAAAUCCGGGUGCGUGAUUCAAGGGUGUGGGGCGAGCGACGUUAGGUCGCGAAGCAAUUGGAAGUGGUUCCAAGAAAAGCCUCUAAGCUUCAGUCAUACGAGACCGUACCGCAAACCGACACAGGUGGGCGAGAUGAGUAUUCUAAGGCGCUUGAGAGAACUCGGGAGAAGGAACUCGGCAAAUUGGUACCGUAACUUCGGGAUAAGGUACGCCCUUGUAGUUUGACUGGCUCGCGCCAGAAGGAUGAAGGGGUUGCAAUAAAAUGGUGGCUGCGACUGUUUAAUAAAAACACAGCACUCUGCAAACACGAAAGUGGACGUAUAGGGUGUGACGCCUGCCCGGUGCCGGAAGAUUAAAUGAUGGGGUGCAAGCUCUUGAUUGAAGUCCCGGUAAACGGCGGCCGUAACUAUAACGGUCCUAAGGUAGCGAAAUUCCUUGUCGGGUAAGUUCCGACCUGCACGAAUGGCGUAACGAUGGCCACACUGUCUCCUCCCGAGACUCAGCGAAGUUGAAGUGUUUGUGAUGAUGCAAUCUCCCCGCGGCUAGACGGAAAGACCCCAUGAACCUUUACUGUAGCUUUGCAUUGGACUUUGAACCGAUCUGUGUAGGAUAGGUGGGAGGCUUUGAAACCGGGACGCUAGUUUCGGUGGAGCCGACCUUGAAAUACCACCCUGGUUUGUUUGAGGUUCUAACCUUGGCCCGUGAAUCCGGGUCGGGGACAGUGCAUGGUAGGCAGUUUGACUGGGGCGGUCUCCUCCCAAAGUGUAACGGAGGAGUUCGAAGGUACGCUUGGUACGGUCGGACAUCGUACCUAAAGUGCAAUGGCAAAAGCGUGCUUAACUGCGAGACCGACAAGUCGAGCAGGUGCGAAAGCAGGACAUAGUGAUCCGGUGGUUCUGUAUGGAAGGGCCAUCGCUCAACGGAUAAAAGGUACUCUGGGGAUAACAGGCUGAUACCGCCCAAGAGUUCAUAUCGACGGCGGUGUUUGGCACCUCGAUGUCGGCUCAUCUCAUCCUGGGGCUGUAGCCGGUCCCAAGGGUAUGGCUGUUCGCCAUUUAAAGAGGUACGUGAGCUGGGUUUAAAACGUCGUGAGACAGUUUGGUCCCUAUCUGCCGUGGGCGUUGGAAUCUUGACGGGGGCUGCUCCUAGUACGAGAGGACCGGAGUGGACGUACCGCUGGUGUACCUGUUGUCUCGCCAGAGGCAUCGCAGGGUAGCUAUGUACGGAAGAGAUAACCGCUGAAAGCAUCUAAGCGGGAAACUCGCCUGAAGAUGAGGAUUCCCUGGAGACUUGAUCUCCCUGAAGGGUCGUUCGAGACCAGGACGUUGAUAGGCUGGGUGUGGAAGCGCAGUAAUGUGUUCAGCUAACCAGUACUAAUUGCCCGUGCGGCUUGAUCCUAUAACC
rnacentral:rRNA from 2 species